rnacentral:rRNA from 1 species
GACGAACGCUGGCGGCGUGCCCAAUACAUGCAAGUCGAGCGAAGUUUUUCUGGUGCUUGCACUAGAAAAACUUAGCGGCGAACGGGUGAGUAACACGUAAAGAACCUGCCUCAUAGACUGGGACAACUAUUGGAAACGAUAGCUAAUACCGGAUAACAGUAUUUCUCGCAUGAGAGAUAUUUAAAAGUUGGUUAUGCCAACACUAUGAGAUGGCUUUGCGGUGCAUUAGCUAGUUGGUGGGGUAAAGGCCCACCAAGGCGACGAUGCAUAGCCGACCUGAGAGGGUGAUCGGCCACACUGGGACUGAGACACGGCCCAGACUCCUACGGGAGGCAGCAGUAGGGAAUCUUCCGCAAUGGGCGAAAGCCUGACGGAGCAACGCCGCGUGAGUGAAGAAGGAUUUCGGUUCGUAAAGCUCUGUUGUUAGGGAAGAAUGGAUAUGUAGUAACUAUACAUGUAAGAGACGGUACCUAACCAGAAAGCCACGGCUAACUACGUG